GAUGAACGCUGGCGGCGUGCUUAACACAUGCAAGUCGAACGGGGAUUAUACGCUGAUGCGAUUUCGGUCAAAUCUUGUGUAAUCCUAGUGGCGGACGGGUGAGUAACGCGUGGGUAACCUGCCUUACACCGGGGGAUAACACUUAGAAAUAGGUGCUAAUACCGCAUAAGCGCACGAAACCGCAUGGUUUUGUGUGAAAAACUCCGGUGGUGUAAGAUGGACCCGCGUCUGAUUAGCUUGUUGGCGGGGUAACGGCCCACCAAGGCGACGAUCAGUAGCCGGCCUGAGAGGGUGGACGGCCACAUUGGGACUGAGACACGGCCCAA
rnacentral:rRNA from 1 species